rnacentral:lncRNA from 1 species
UUUCUUCUCACUUCUAAACAUUCUUCAUGCAUGUCUAGCACUUGUAAUCAAUCAAAUUCAUUGUAUUAUAACAUAUUCUAACCCAAAAUAACUUAAUACAAGCCAUUCACUGCCUCAAAGCAAUGGUUUUGAGUUCUUAUCCCAUUUGAGACCAAAUUUCAACAAGUCUUUAUUCUCACUUUUAAACAUUCUUCAUGCAUGUCUAGCACUUGUAAUCAAUCAAAUUCAUUUUAUUAUAACAUAUUCUAACCCAAAAUAACUUUAUACAAGCCAUUCACUGCCUCAAAGCAAUGGUUUUGGGUUCUUAUCACAUUUGAGACCAAAUUUCA